UACGGGGGGGGCAAGCGUUGUUCGGAAUUACUGGGCGUAAAGGGCGCGUAGGCGGCCUUCUAAGUCGAACGUGAAAUCCCCGGGCUCAACCCGGGAACUGCGUCCGAUACUGGAAGGCUUGAAUCCGGGAGAGGGAUGCGGAAUUCCAGGUGUAGCGGUGAAAUGCGUAGAUAUCUGGAGGAACACCGGUGGCGAAGGCGGCAUCCUGGACCGGCAUUGACGCUGAGGCGCGAAAGCCAGGGGAGCAAACGGGGAUUAAGCAAACCCCGUGUACGUC
rnacentral:rRNA from 1 species